rfam:Firmicutes bacterium CAG:240 genomic scaffold, scf194
GCCCCAGUAGCUCAGUAGGCAGAGCACCUGCCUUUUAAGCAGGGUGUCCGGGGUUCGAAUCCCCGCUGGAGCA